GCUUGAGUGGCUCAGUCAGUUAAGCGUCUGACUUCAGCUCAGGUCAUGAUCUUACAGUUCAUGGGUUCAAGCCCUGUGUCAGGCU
rnacentral:tRNA from 1 species